GGGUGGGUGGGGAGAGAUUGAAUCAAUAAAAGGUUUACAUUGCUAAACGACCAAUAUUGACAUUAGUGCUUGUCGUCUUUGGGAAUAUCUUUAUGAGAAGUCUUGGCUUCCAGCUCCUUGGUUGUUUUCUCCACAGUCUUGGAGGCAGAGGCAGAUUCUUCUUCAAGCCACUGGCGGAUGUGCUUGACGUUGCGCCUGAAGAUUGAGGCCGAUUGCUUCACAUCGCUCCUC
rnacentral:misc_RNA from 1 species